GCUUCUCACUUGUCCUGGACACUGGGCAUAGCGGUAUGUGGUAGUUGGUGGAUUUAUAGCACUUGGUUCUGCUUUAUAUUCUGUAACUGGUUAUUUACGUGUCUGCCUCCCUCAUGAUACCAGAAGCAGAGGAGAUGCUUUCACCUUUGCUCAAAAUGCUGGGCUCGACACAAUGGCUCAUCAACAAAUGGCCGUAACAGACAAGGCGGGUUAGCGCUUAGGGAGCACAUGGAUCAGGAGCACGUGUUUCCUCCUGUGUGCGUGGGAAGCGCGCAGAGUGGUAAGUGGCACCUGUGUCUUCCUCGCAGGGGCGCCGGGGCUGCCCGCCCGGAUCGGAUUCACACAGGGGCGAGCACUGCGCCGCACGGGCCUAUCUCACCGUGCCCUGCUGCGAGUUGACCUCAGCACUACAAACCUGUAUUCCCCCCGCCAGUGUUCAGACGUUCUGUUUGCCUUUCAAUAUGUCAAAUUCUGCUCCCCAUUAAAAGAAACCACCUGUUGUGGCCUCAAGAAAGUGCUAACUGUAAACUCAUCUGAGCUCUCAGGAAAGGGAGGGUUGAAAGCCCCCGUUCAUUGCUAAUGCUACUGGCCUCCCACCCUCUCUCCCCACUCCCAGCAGGUCAGUGGAAUUCUGGUCCCUACGUGCUGAGAGUGUCUGGAUUAGGAAAAGACACCCUCACCUUGGAAGGGCCUGAGAGCAGGGCUGCCAGUGACAGCAGCUGGUCCCAGCUGUUAACCUGUGUUUCACAGGUUUUGCUCGACUCUGCUUGGCUUUUGCAGAGCUCAGGGUUACAGAGCUGACUGGAGACCUCUUGCUUCUUGUACUAGAUGCCUGGUGUUCUGCUGCCACCAGCUAAGGAAGCAGGUUUCUGCUCGUCUAGGGCUUUUUGUUUUUCAAAAGGGUACUUGACAGGAGUUCCUCUUGUGGCUCAUCGGAAACAAAUCUGACUAGGAUCCAUGAGGUCGCCGGUUCGAUCCCUGGCCUUGCUCAGUGGGUUAAGGAUCCAGCGUUGCCAUGAGCUGUGGUGUAGGUUGCAAAUGCAGUUCGAAUCUGACAUUGCUGUGGCAUAGGCCAGCAGCUACAGCUCCAAUUCAACCCCUAGCCUGGGGAUCUCCAUAUGCUGCAGGUGCGGGCCUUAAAAAAAAAAGGGCCCUUUACAAACUGUGCAGGCACCAAGUGGGCCUUGGGGAGGUUUGUUAUGUGAGUCUUAAGCAUCUGGGUAAAAUAGGUGAAGUUGUAAGUUCCACUGAAAUUUCAUAAUUCUGUUCAGGUACCUGUAAAAUCAGAGGCCUGUAUUUUAACUGAUUUUAUGAUUUAUGUUUUCUAAAUUGAUUAGGGUUAAAUAGGAUGUGCUUGGGUGUCCUGGAGCACGUCUGGGUCAUCCAGUGGUUGUCUGCUGUUCCUGUUCCAUCCAGGCCACCCCCCAGCUCAGUCAUCUCACUGGGCCUCCAUUUCCCUUCUGCAGAACCCAGGGGUCAGACUUAGAGUAUCUUUAAAGCCUUUUAAUUCAGCUUUUUUUUUUUUUUUUUAAAUCACUUUUCUGCAAGUGGAGCCAGCUCUCCAGUUGGGUAUGGGAUUCAUCCUUUUAAUGCGGCCUAUUUCCAAGAUGGCCCCAACUGCUCCCAGCUGCUCUCACACCCACCAUUUGCUGCUCUCUGAUGCUUAUCUUCUUGUUCUAUUCUGGAAAAAGAAACGCCAGCCUGAUAUUUCUGGAAGCACAGAAGAAGUUGACAGGCAGCCCGAGGAGAAGUGGGGCUGAGCAGGGAUCCUUGCAGGAUCGGGAGGGCCCAGCCCCAAACCGCCAGGUCAUACCCGAUGAAGAGCUCCCAGCCCUUUGCAGCAGGUUGAUCUGCUGAUUUGAGGAUCAGCGCUGAGGGUGGUGUGUGUUGGUGUCCAGCAGAGCUGGCAGGUCAGGAACGGCUGGCUAAUGUGUUGAGCCCCUGGAGGAGGAGGGCUGUGGCCUGGUAGGAAGUCACAGAAGCUCCCAGAGCCCUGGGCCAGAAGGGAGACGCUCUCUUGCAUCUGCUCCCUGUGCUUCUGGGCCUUUCUUCAGGUAAGUAGUUUCCGUGCCUGGUACUGUUAGGCCCGGGAUAUGAAGCUGAGAGCAUGCCCUCGAGGGCCUCGUCGGCUGGAGGGGACAUUGCUGCCGUUUUCUCAUGGUUGCUCAGGGCCCAGCAUUGUGCCAGGUGCUUUGCAGUAAAGCCUGUGUCCACCUAGUUCUGAUGCAGCGCUGAGCGGUUCACCGGCAGUGUCUGCAAGGGCUUUGGGCACAUCGAGGAGGGAGGGGAGCGUCUGGCUGGAGACGGGGAGGGUCGUGGACAGUCGAGGGAGGUAGGAGGAGUUGCACAUGGCUUUGUCAAUGAGACAGGACUCCUGGCUCUGCUGCAGGCAGUGCUGGAGUAUAUUCACACAGACCAGCUGGUAGGAUUCUGUGCCUUGAGAAGACAUGUAUUUGCCCGAAAGAACCAGGACAAUUGAGUGCUGCCUUUCCUAUGUCUUUUAGUGUUGGUUAUAGGUUUUAAAGGCUUUUAUUUGUAGUUUUCUGGAAAGUGGAACAAGCAAAGUAUGUUCCUCUUGCUUCUCUAGACUUGUGUUCAGAAACACAAGAGUUUCCACCCCUCUUUUUCAACCCACGUCCCUGAAUGAGUGUCCAGAGUGUGAUAUUCAUGCUUCUCUCGGCUCCAGCCUCGGGAGGCCUGCCCUCCAGGCACGUGAUGAUGAGCCAGAACAUCCUUGGUCCUGCCAGGCCCUCACGAAGGGUUUCAGGAGACAGUGGCUCUCUUUAUCUCCAUGUGGCAGUCUUCUGUAAGACUGGCAGCCUCCUCUUUGCAGCAGAUGCAUUGCUAUUUGUGUUGCCCAUUCUGGUCUGAGUCUUCCUCAUCCAGUUGGACCCCACAGAUGCCUCCCGUAUCACAGAGUCUGGGUGGAACCGGUCAUGUGGAGGUGCCCCGACAGAUGUGCUGUGUUCUCCUUGAAACUUUCUCAGCAGCCCUGGCCUGGAAACGAUCUUUCCCGCCAUCUCUACAUCUCAGGUCUUUGUACCUGUCUGUUUGCCUUACCCCGUUCUGCUCUUCAUUAGUCAUUCUAUGUGCCUCCUGUCUCUCCUCUCAGGUUGUAAACUCACCUUGGCAAGGACUUUGCAUCCUGUGCAUUCUUCACAAUCCCUAACGUGAGGAUUUGCCGUAAUAAGCACUCGACAAAUAUUUAUGGAACUGAAUCCAGAUAGCUUUAUUUAUUUUGAGCUGCGUCCUCUUCAAGUACAAAAGGAAUUGUUUUUAGAAAGGUCAGUAUUUACUUUCCCCAUCCAGUGCCUUGCCCCCAGUUCUAUAUUUAAUCAAUUAGGAUAGGUGUCCCAUCUGUAGCCUGAAGGAUAUGGCAGCCUAAAGAUGAGAAUUCAUGGUAAAAUCAGGCAGUUUAAGAUAAAGAUUCAGUGUAAUACUUUUGUAGGAGGCAGCAGACGCCUGACUUCAGCAGAUUGGAGUAACUAUAAUUUUCGGCAUCUCAGAUAAAGAAGGAAUCAUGGCAGCAUUUUCGUGUUUUGCCACAGAUGGCAUAAAAUUCAUCUACAGAGACUUCUUGGUGCUAAACUUGAGUAGGAAAUUUUCUCUUAGGUCCUCGCGGUUUUCCACCACGUGUACCUACCCAGGCAGUCUUCCUUUAUAGAUGGUUUUAUUUAAUUUAUUUAUUGGAAUCAUUUUUUAAUUGAAUUUGUUAUCGUUGUGUUUACGCAGUUGACUCGCUACUUCUCCUGUCUUCCCCACACCUCAUUUUCCUCAACAAGAAACUCUAGACAUGAGGCGCUCUGUCAGCAAAAGCAUCCUCAGUAUAACUUAUGACUUCUUCUCCCAGCUCAGGAUGCUCUGCUACAUGUUUUCUUUUUUCUUCUUCUUUUUUUUUGUCUUUUCACCAUUUCUUGGGCCACUCCUGUGGCAUAUGGAGGUUUGAUCCUUGGCCUCACUCAGUGGGUUAAGGAUGCAGUGCGGUUGCAGAUGUGGCUCAGAUCCGCUGUGGCGUAGGCCCCAGCUGCACCUCUGAUUCACUCCUAGCCCAGGAACGUCCAUGUGCCGCAGGUGCAGAAAAGAAGUACGUGGACGUAGAUGAGAACAGAGGGGGGUGCGAGAUGAACAUGAGUCCCGGUGAGACGUAGGAUUAUGCGCUUAGAGCAGGUGUGUCAGGAUGUUCCCUCUGACGGCUGAGGGGACCUUGCGGAAGAGUUGGAGAGACACCCCCAUCUACCAGGCUCGUCUCUCUCCGUCUUGUAGAUGUAGAAGCCGGAGUCCCAGAGUUUCCAUCCCUCUUGGCUGAGGGGGGAUUUGAACUUCCAACUCAUUGACUGUCUUUCUGACCUUGCCACAUAGCCUGCUUUUUUGUCCUUCAGAAGCUUUGGGGCUGGACCAGAUAGAUACCUUUGUGUCAGCCCAGGUGGUCAGACGGAGCUGCUCGUGAAGGCGGGUCAUACUCCUGGAGGCCACCUGGUGCCAUGUGAUGAUGAGGCCUCACAGCGGGCUGCAGGUGCCAGGGCUGCCUGUUGGCAGCCGUCUGUCUCCGCAGCUCCCGAGUCUUUACCGUGCUCCACUCUCUUACUCAUUGUUGCAGGAGUUUCACCAGCCUUUGGAAGAUGUCAUGAGCUGCUCUUUUGGACAAGAUGACUUUGUAUGCCAGACACGAAACCUGUGUCUUGGAAUCACAGAAUUUCAAAAUGGAAAGGAAAGGGUCCUUAAGUCUCCUAGGCCAACCUCCUUGUUUUAUAUUUGUCGAAGGUGGGACAGAAGGUUCCCUCAGACCUCCCGUUUUCUCUCUUUGGAGUUAGACAGGCAGCUAGCCUGUUGGUGGUCUACCUCUUUGAUUGUUCUGAUGCCUUUAACUUAAGAUGUGGUUGAAGUAAUACUUACUCUCUCUGGAGAAGUGAAGUAGGGCAGCAGUAUUGAUGUCUGCUGACCUGAUCGGUGUCUUUGGGUAGAUAAUUUUACUCUUCUCCAUAGAUAAAUUCCACUUGCAGAGUGGCCUCCUAGAAACUACGAGAAGCUGUGAAUUUUCUCCACCGUUUUUUUUAGCCAGCACUGAAAGGAAAGAUACCUGCCCCUGGUAGCACAGAAAUGCCAGAAUUAGAUUGGCUAUCUUUUUUUUUUUUUUAAUUCUUUCUGUCACAUGGUCUUUUCAGUGUCUCAAUCUAAGUGUCAGGUCCUAUUUCUCUGUUUCUUAUGAUCUCAAAUCCUAGAAGGAUGUGAUGUUUGCUCAUUGAUAUUCCAUUUUGGCAGUAAAGCCACACUGCUGGAUAGGUGUAGUAAUGUUGUUUUCUGUAUUAAAAGUGUUGCCUUUUCUGAUUUCAAAAGUAAUGUCUCCUUAUUAUAAAAAUAUGGAAAAUACAGAAAUAUGUAAAGAAAAUUGGGGAGUUCCCGUCGUGGCUCAGUGGUUAAUGAAUCUGACUAGGAACCAUGAGGUUGUGGGUUCAAUCCCUGGCCUUGCUCAGUGGGUUAAGGAUCCCGCGUUGCCGUGAGCUGUGGUGUAGGUUGCAGAUGCGGCUUGGAUCCCAUGUUGCUGUGGUUCUGGCGUAGGCCAGCAGCUAUAGCUCCGAUUCAAUCACUAGCCUGGGAAUGGCCCAAGAAAUGGCAAAAAAAAAAAAAAAAAAAAAAAA
rnacentral:lncRNA from 1 species